CGUAGGCGGCGGACCAAGUCGAGUGUGAAAGCCCCGGGCUCAACCUGGGAGGUGCGCUCGAGACUGGCCCGCUGGAGUUCGGGAGAGGAGAGUGGAAUUCCCAGUGUAGAGGUGAAAUUCGUAGAUAUUGGGAAGAACACCGGUGGCGAAGGCGGCUCUCUGGGCCGAGACUGACGCUGAGGCGCGAAAGCGUGGGGAGCAAACAGGAUUAGAUACCCUGGUAGUCCACGCUGUAAACGAUGUGUGCUAGACGUUGGGGAGCGUAGCUCUUCGGUGUCGCAGCAAACGCUUUAAGCACACCGCCUGGGGAGUACGGCCGCAAGGUUAAA
rnacentral:rRNA from 1 species